rnacentral:lncRNA from 1 species
AAAAAAUAAAAAUAAAAAAAAAGAAUAAGUUACUUCAUCUCUCUUAUCCUCACUUCCACUAACUUGCAGGACUCUUGAGAAGACCGGAUACAAUGUACAGUAAUAACAGGGACCAAUUAUCAAGCAGGCCUUAUUUAUCUUAGUUCCCCAAGAGUCUGGCCCAAAGCAAAGGCAUCAGGGAUCAUAUUACAGGGAGGGUGGCUGUUCCGGAUGCCGGAGUCUCCUCCACUUGGAGGUUCCAUGUGCCCCAGACACUACCUGAGAUGUAGGAUGGAAAUGCAGCAAGAGCACUGGACUGGGAGGUGGGAGCCUGGGGAUCCAGUGUGGGCUCUGCCGCUGGCGUUCUGGGCCAUUCUGAGGUCCCCUCUGAGGCCUUAUUUUUUUCAUUUUUAAAUGAAGAAAUACUGUGAUCCUCUACUAAUACACCUCCAAUCAUGCCUCCUCCCUGAUCUAUUUCAGUGGCUCUCCAUUCCCCUCAAGAGGGUCCAACCUCUCAGCAUAAGGCCCUCCACCAUUUGGGCCCCACCAUCCGCAUUGUUCACUACUGGCCUUCUCAUGCUCUUCAAGCCAGCCACCAGAAAUUCUUUCAGGUCUUCAACACACUGGGCUCUCUCCUGCUUCAGGGCUGCCUCAAAAGCUCCUGCCUUGUUCUGGAACAUGCCCCCCUCUCUCAUCACUUAACUCCUUCAGGUCUCCACUCUUCCACACGGCAGCUGCUCCAGGAAUCCGGAGCUCAGUCGGGGCUGGGGUGGAAGACAGAAAUUCCGGGUAGAGAAGCUGGCAAAGCAGCCACAAAGACAGAGAAAACCAGAAGAGUGGUAUCAUAGAAGGAACAUGAUGUGUUUCAAGGACAGUGUGGCCAACUGUGUCCAAUGCUACAGAAAGGCUGAGGAAGACGAGAUUGAAAAUCACCCACUGGAUCUGGCCACCAGGAGGUCACAGUGAUUCACAGGAUUCUUCCAAUGGCAUUUAUGGGGAAGAAACAGGAUGGAAGACUGACCAGAGUGGGCUGCAGAGUAAACUUGAGUCCAAAUCUCUCUCUUAAGUUCAGACACCUUCCUGAGCUCCCCAACUACCUGCUUGGGCCCUCCACUUGGAUGUCUCCUAA